rnacentral:rRNA from 1 species
GAAAUUCGCCUUCAUGAAGCCGGAAUUGCUAGUAAUGGCAGGUCAGCAUACUGCCGUGAAUACGUUCCCGGGCCUUGUACACACCGCCCGUCACACCAUGAGAGUUGGGGAUACCCGAAGCCUGUGAGCUAACUUUAUAAGGAGCAGCAGUCGAAGGUAGAAUCAAUGAUUGGGGUGAAGUCGUAACAAGGUAGC